GAGAGUUAAACAGUACGUGAAAUUGUUGAAAGGGAAACGAUUGAAGUCAGUCAUGCCGGCGUUGGAUUCAGCUUGCUUCGCGGAGCGGGCGCAUUUCCUCGCAUGGCAGGUCAGCGUCGAUUUCGGGGGUUGUAAAAUACUUGGGGGAAAGUAGCUCUGCUUCGGGAGAGUGUUAUAGACCUUGGGAGAUGCAGCCCGUGGGAUCGAGGAUUGCAGCAAAUGCCUUUGGCUUGUCUUCUGAUCUUUGGUUGUUACCUCGUUUAUGACAACAUUCUUGUCAUCGAUGAGUUCUAAUGGUUAUGGGUUAGAAUGAUCAAAAAUUUGCUAAGGAUGCUGACGUAAUGGCUUUAAACGA
rnacentral:rRNA from 1 species